GUUUCUUUUUCCUCUUACACUUUUUUCUCCUUUUCUGAUUUUCCUUGAGAAUUUUAUAUGAUUCCAUUUUAUUUCCUCUUUCAUUAUAUAUCAGUUAUACUUCUUUACAAUUUUUUUAGUAGUUGCCUGUGAUUUUGCAAUAUACACUUAAAACUGAUCCAAGUCCAUUUUCAAAUAACACAAUACCACUUCAUGUGUAGUGAGAAUAUGUUAUCACAGAGUAUUCACAAUUCUUUUCCUCAUCUCUUAUAACAUUUUUGUCAUUCAUUUCACUAAUUUAUAAACUAUAAUCACCCAAUACAUGUUUACUAUUAUUAUCUUGAAGAAAAUGAUAAACUGUUAGAUUAGCAUAAAAUAUGAAAAAGAAAUUAUUCAUUUUAGCCUUCGUUUCUUUCUUCUUGAAUGCUCUUCAUUCCUUUUAGUAGACCUGAGUUUUUCACCUAUGUCAUUUUCCCUUCUUUUUCAAGGAAGUCCUACUGGCAGCAAACCCCUUCCGUUUUUCUUUCUCUGCAAAAGUAUUUGCCAUUCACUUUUGAAGGAUAAUUUCACUGGAUACAGAAUUCUAUCUAUAGCUAGUGGUGUUUUCUUUCUUUCAGCCCUUUAAAUAUUUCACUCCACACUCUCUUUUUACUUGCAUGGUUUUCGAGGAGAAGUCUGAUGUAGUCUUAUGCUUGAUCCUCCAUACGUAAGCUGAAGGAUCAAGGUGUUUGGAACCCAGGAAUCACAAUCAGACUUUUUCAGGCCGCAAAUGGAUUGAUAAAACAAUGGAGGUCUCUCUGAUAAGGUAACAUUUCAGCUGAGCAUGGAAGUAAGUGAAGACAUGAUCAUAGGAGUAUCUGGGGAUCGAGCAGCAAGUGCAAAGGCCCUGGGGCUGGAACACACUCAGUGUGUGUGAGAAAUGGCAAGGGGUUCAGUGUGCCUGAUGCAGAUUAAGCAAAGAGGCCAGGAGUAGGAGGUGAUAUGGAAAGAUUGUGUUGACUCUGCAGUUCAUGGUAAGGCCUUAGGAUAUUGUCAUGAGUGAAAUGGGAAGCUGUCGGAAGGUUUAGAAUGAAGGGGUCAUAUUAUCUGACUUUUGUUUUAACAGGAAUCUCUCCAGCUGAGUCUAAUUUCUGAGAGUAGACUGAAGAGGACACAGCAGGGCAGUCUAGUCAGAGGUGCCUGCAGGAAUCCCAGACGAAUGGUAGGGAAGGUAGUGAAGGAGGUGAAGAGAUGAGCUUUGAGCCUGGUCCUGUUUAGAGCAGAGCUGGCAGGACUUGCUAGGGAUGGGUGCAUGCUGUGGGAGAAAGAGAAGCUCCUGGGUUGGCUCUGUGCACCUCUGUGACUCAGCUUUCCUGGAAGGUGCUUUGCGUUUUUCCUUCAGUAUCUGACAGGCAUGGGCAGAAGAGUCUUUGUUUUUUGGGGGGCUUUUUUGUUUGUUUGUUUGUUUGUUUGUUUGGUGAUGGAAUUUCACUCUUGUCACCCAGGCUGGAGCACAGUGGCCUGAUCUCGGCUCACUGCAACCUCUGCCUCCCGGGUUCAAGUGAUUUUCAUGCCUCAGGCUCCCAAGUAGCUGGGAUUAAAGGCGCCCAACACCACUCCCAGCUAAUUUUUGUAUUUUUUAGUAGAGACGGGGUUUCACCAUGUUGGCCAGGCUGGUCUUGAACUCCUGACCUCAGGUGGUCCACUCACCUCGGACUCCCAAAGUGCUGGGAUUACAGGCGUGAACAACCAUGCCCAGCCCAGGCAGAAGAGGCUUAAACAUGGCCGGUGGUACAUGUACUUUCAUUACUUUUCUGCCCACCCCCCCUAAAAUGUCAGUAAAAGCAUGAAAACAGGGAACCUUACAGGAUGAGGAGCCCAGGACUGGGGAUUAAAUAAGAUGAAUGACAAUGUGAGUUAUGUCUGAAGAGGAAAGCAGACACAGCCAUGGGUGGGAGGUGACUUAGCAGAGGGAAGGAAGCUGGCUACCGAGUGUCUGCAGUCAGAGGUGCAGGCAGAAGACCUUGAGGAUCCACCCGAGAGGCUCCGGAAUCAGACUCCAGGCCCUCUGAAAGGGCAGCCAUAGCCAAACCUAUAACCAGCAAGCAGGAAAACAGAUGACCUCUGAGGACAACAUCACCCAGAGGACAGGCUCCAGAUGCUAACAAUGUGGGCUCCUCUGAACAUGUACUUCGCCUCUCACUGCACAGGCAAAUCCUGCCCCAGCACACCAGUUUCUGAUAAAUAUUUUAGUGUCUCACUCUUAACUAUGAAUAGAUAGCCAAGGAUCACCAGACAGGAAGCCCUCUAACACAGACAAACAGAAACUAAAGACAAGACAGAAAGGAUCUCAGAGAAAACAGGCAAUUCAGGGAGCAGAGGGAAACUUUCUGGACAAACCCACAAUUAAAACCUUCUAGGACUUAAGAGGAGCUGUAUACUUGUGAUUCAAGAUCAGGCUCCUAGCAGGAACAUUCAUAGCUCCAGGAUUAGGGGCAGGAAAGAGGACAGAGCUGAAACAAAAUUCUACAGGAGGAUUAGAAGAUAACAAUGAGAAUUUUUGCCAAAAAAAAAAUACCGCAAAAGGCCGAAGAACCAACAAUAGGAGAGGAGAGAUGAAAAGACAAGAGAAGAAAGUUGAACUCCUGACAAACAGGAAUUCCAAAAGAGAGAAAAGGAAAAAAAUAUAUAGAGAAUAAGUUAUUUUUUAAAAUGCAAGAAAAUUCCCUAGAGCUAAGUGGCAUAAAUCUCCUGAUAGAUGCUCAGGCCAAGGCAAAUCAUCAUGGAAUAUCACUGCAGCAGAGAUAAAGAGAAGGCCUUAGAAGCUUCUAGAGGAACACAGAGGCCACUUAGCAAAUAUCAGCAAUCAGGAGGCCCUUAGAAUUCUCAACAGCAACACAGGGAGCUAGAAGACAAGGGCCUUCAAAAUUCUGGAAGGGCAACAAAUUUCUAAUGUGGAAUUCUUGGCUUAUGAAACUACUGAUCAAUUUUGAAAAUGAAAUACAGGCAUUUUCAAGCACUCAAGAUCUCAAGAAACGUUUCUUGUCUGCACCCUUUCUCAGGCAGUUACUGGGCACAUGCUCGUCCAAGAUAAGAGAAAACCAAGAAAGAGGAGUCUCAGCAGCGAAACCAGUGAAGCAGAGCAGGACAGAAGGGAUUGUCAGGCUGGCAGCCAUGCAGGGGACCCAGGGAGCCAUCAGUCCAGGUGGAAGCUGGGAGACCAGGGUUUCCCGGAGGCAUUCCUCCAGGAAAAACAUGAACUGAAUUUUUUUUUUGAUAUAUAAGCUGUGCGGAAAAUAGAAUUGAGAAAGCGUUUUACAAGUAAAUUGUGGCUGUUGAAAAUUAGCCAGAGGUGCAUCGGGGAAAAUCCAAAGUAAUUAUAAGCUUGAAAACAUACACAUGUACGAGACAGAAAUGCAAUCUUAUUUCUUGAUGUGGCUCAGUGGAAAAUAUUUACAUAAUCAUAGUAUUGACUUCCUGAAGACCCAGAUAAACAACAUUGGGAAGAUGAAGAAAGAGAAGCGAAUGUUUGUUGGGGCAACAGGGUGGUAAUUUGGGGGAGUAUUAAAGAGCUGUAUUGGCUUCCUGUUGCUUCUGUAACUCAUUACCGGACAUUCAGUGGCUUAAGACAACACAACUGUGACCUUGCAGUUCUGGAGUUCAGAAGUCUGAAAUGAGUCUUCACUGUGCUAUAAUCAAAGGCGUCGGCAGGGCUGUUGUCUUUCUGGAAGCUCUGAGGAGAAUCUUCCUUGCCCUUUCCAGCUUCCAGAGGCCGCCACAUUCCUCGGCUUUGGCCCCUUCCUCUGUCUUCACAGUGAAUUGUUCCAACCUCUGCUUCCACGGCGACCUCUCUUUUUUCUGACUCCACUCUCAUCCCUCCCUUUCAUAUGGACGCUUAUGAUGAUAUUGGACCAGGCUGAAUAAUCCCUCCCUUUCAUAUGGAUCCUUAUGAUUAUAUUGGACCAGGCUGGAUAAUCCCUCCCUUUCAUGUGGACCCUUAUGAUGAUAUUGGACCAGGCUGGAUAAUCCAGGAAAAUCUCCCCAUCUCAAGAUGCUUACUUGAAUCACACCUGCAAAGUCCCUUCUGGCAUGGAAAGUGACAUGUUCACAGGAUCCCAUGUUCCCAGGAUUAGGACAUGGACAUCUUUAGUGGGGAGAAGCCAUGGUUUUGCAGAUCCCCAAGGUUAAUGUGCUCAAUGGAGGAUCAGGAUCUAGCCCUAUGAGCAUGUUAUUAACGAGCAUAGAAGUGAAUUCCCAAAAGCAUCACUAAGUGCACUGGUGGUCGUAAUCUCAUGGCUAUGAGCAGCGUGGGGUAGGCAGAGCCAGGGGCUAGUUGUUUCCAUUAUAAGCCUUGUGAUAUUUUAGACCAUGUGUAUCUAAUGCUGUGAUAAAGAGUAAAAUGUCCAGUCAGGUGCAGUGGCUCAAGCCUGUAAUCCCACCACUUUGGGAGCCCAAGGCGGGAGAACCACUUGUGUACAGGAGUUCCUGGCCAGCCUCGGCAACAUAGUUAGACCCUGUCUCUAUGAGAAAUAGAAGAUGAGCCAAGCGUGAUGGUGUGCCUAUAGUCCCACCGACUUGUGGGGCUGAGGUAGGAGAUUGCUUGAGCCCAGGUAGUUGAGACUGCAGUGAACCAUGAUUGUGCCACUGCACUCAGCCUGGGUGACAGUUAAGACCCUGUCUCAAAAAAAAAAAGAAAAAAGAAUAAAAAGAGUAAAAUGCUAUCGUUAGGCCCAACUCAUACCUAAUCAAUCAAAACGUAACUUAAAUUCUGGAGAUCUAGUGUCCUGCGUGGUGACUGCAAUGAACAAUACUGUGUUGUACACGAAAUUUGCCAAGAGGUCAGAUCUUGAGUGUUCUCAUCACAUACCAAAAAGGUAACUGUGAGGCGAUGGAUAUGUUAAUUAGCAUAAUUGUGUACAUGUAUUUCAAAUAAUCAAGUAGUACACCUUAAAUACAUACCUUUUAAUUUGUCAAUUCUGC
rnacentral:lncRNA from 1 species